CAGUGCCACGGUAAUACGGAGGAUCCAAGCGUUAUCCGGAAUCAUUGGGUUUAAAGGGUCCGUAGGCGGUCUUGUAAGUCAGUGGUGAAAGCCCAUCGCUCAACGGUGGAACGGCCAUUGAUACUGCAGGACUUGAAUUAUUGGGAAGUAACUAGAAUAUGUAGUGUAGCGGUGAAAUGCUUAGAGAUUACAUGGAAUACCAAUUGCGAAGGCAGGUUACUACCAAUUGAUUGACGCUGAUGGACGAAAGCGUGGGUAGCGAACAGGAUUAGAUACCCCAGUAGUCCCUGUCUCUUAUACA
rnacentral:rRNA from 1 species